GACUUGGCUGUAGUCGUGGGUGAAAAUCGAAGUAGCCCAGCGCCUAUUUUCAUUAUUGCCAGGUCGGACCUGUGUAUAACUUUAAAACUACCCAAAAGAUGUAUAUAUUUUCCUAGUUUUGUGAUCGAUUGUGAUACAGCAGAGAUUAUCGUUUGUAUUUCUGGGCUUCUGACCAAACCCUUACGUCUGUUAACUGUACCGUAGACAGUGUUGGGGAGUAACGGAAUACAUGUAGCUACCGGCGUUACGUAUUCAGAAUACAAAUUAUAAGUAACUGUAUUCCGUUACACAAGGGUUAAAUAGUUGGUAUUUAGAAUACAGUUACAUUGUUGAAAUCAAUGGAUUACAUUACGAUACUUAUCUGUUUCACAGGUUUAUUCACUCUCUAAAUAAAUUAAGGCAACUCCAUGCAUUUCCCAGAACUUCUAUCUGGUGGUUUC